rnacentral:tRNA from 1 species
GGCCCCGUAGCUCAGUUGGAUAGAGCAUCCGCCUUCUAAGCGGAUGGUCGCGUGUUCGAAUCACGCCGGGGUCA